rnacentral:rRNA from 1 species
AUAUCAGUAAGCGGAGGAAAAGAAACUAACAAGGAUUGCCUCAGUAGCGGCGAGUGAACAGGCAAAAGCUCAAGCUGAAAAUCUACGGUAUAAAGCCGCAGAAUUGUAAUCUAAAGAUCUUUUCGGAAGGUACGGGCCUCGCAUAAGUCUCUUGGAAAAGAGUGUCAAAGAGGGUGAAAACCCCGUGUUUAGCGAGACAUCGACUGUACGAAGGGGAUCAUUGAGUCGGGUUGUUUGGGAAUGCAGCCCUAAAUGGGAGAUAAACUUCUUCUAAGGCUAAAUAUUUAUGGGAGACCGAUAGCGCACAAGUA